UGGAGACCGAGGCUAGGAAAUCGGGGUGGUCGGUCGACCUCCAAGUAGGUGGGAUGACGAACUCCGUUUAGUUGCGGCCUGCGGGCCCAUGUUGGAUGCGAGUAACAGGAGAUCGGUCAUCUUGGCGUUCAUUGGAGAGAGGCAUAUGUCCAUUGUCCAGCAGUGGACGACUAUAGGCUGAUAAUAUGAUGAUGAUGAUGAUUAUGAA